CGGCCGCCCGGCGUGCGCCGCGCACAGCCGCGCCCCGGGCGCUGCGGCCCGCGGCUCCCCCUGCGCCAUGCCGCGGGCGGCCGCGAGGGUGGGAAGAGGAGCAUGCGGAGCCGGCAGGCGAGGGGGAGGCGGAAGGUUGGUCUCAGCUGGAAUAUAACUUCCUGACGUAGCUGAGUGGCUUCCAAAGAAACUUUCUGCCAGUGCUACGGGUUGUGACGGAACAUUCCAAACAUUCUACAGUGCCAAAUUUAAGGUCUUGGUGCAGAUCUGGGCAUCUUGGCAGCCAUCUACAAGAAAACAACCGACCAACUCAAAACCAAGUGGAAUCACCACUUCAGCAAAGACAUUGAGGACUGUAACUUGCAUGGCACUAAUACACCACUGAACGCACUGAACAGCCUUCAGUCACUGCCACACAGGGGCUGAGUGUUAAAUAAGGCUGAACUGAAGAAUCCUGUAUCAAAGUGGUCUGUUUUCAAUAGAAGUCACCCUUCCCACUGGUUAAGAAGAGAAAUAAUUUUUACUGCAGAAAUCAGAGUUUAUCUUGGUUUUGUUUGCCCCAGAACUACCCAUUUCCAGAGGGACCACACAGGGAAGAUCUAUUUUAUUCUGAGUCAAGGAAACCUUCUGGAAACAUAUGCAUACAUGUGUGUAUUUUAAGUGUUUUAAUUGCACAGUUAGAAAAAUGUUUUAGCAGUGCUGUGUGAGUUCAGUUUUCAUGUUCAAGUUGUUG